GACGAACGCUGGCGGCGUGCCUAAUACAUGCAAGUAGAACGCACAGUUUAUACCGUAGCUUGCUACACCAUAGACUGUGAGUUGCGAACGGGUGAGUAACGCGUAGGUAACCUGCCUGGUAGCGGGGGAUAACUAUUGGAAACGAUAGCUAAUACCGCAUAAUAUUGAUUAUUGCAUGAUAAUUGAUUGAAAGAUGCUAUUGCAUCACUACCAGAUGGACCUGCGUUGUAUUAGCUAGUAGGUGAGGUAACGGCUCACCUAGGCGACGAUACAUAGCCGACCUGAGAGGGUGAUCGGCCACACUGGGACUGAGACACGGCCCAGACUCCUACGGGAGGCAGCAGUAGGGAAUCUUCGGCAAUGGACGAAAGUCUGACCGAGCAACGCCGCGUGAGUGAAGAAGGUUUUCGGAUCGUAAAGCUCUGUUGUAAGAGAAGAACGGGUGUGAGAGUGGAAAGUUCACACUGUGACGGUAGCUUACCAGAAAGAGACGGCUAACUACGUG
rnacentral:rRNA from 1 species